rnacentral:rRNA from 1 species
CAGGUGGUCAGGUAGAGAAUACCAAGGCGCUUGAGAGAACUCGGGUGAAGGAACUAGGCAAAAUGGUGCCGUAACUUCGGGAGAAGGCACGCUGAUAUGUAGGUGAAGCGACUUGCUCGUGGAGCUGAAAUCAGUCGAAGAUACCAGCUGGCUGCAACUGUUUAUUAAAAACACAGCACUGUGCAAACACGAAAGUGGACGUAUACGGUGUGACGCCUGCCCGG